AAGAUAUAAAUAUUAUAAUUUUUAUGUUUUUUGAGUAUACAAUGAAAUUAUUCUUCAUUGAAUGUUGCUAUUAUUAUUAUUAUUUUUUUUUUGAGACCGAUCACUCUGUUGCCAGGCUGGAGUGCAGUGGCAUGAUCUUGGCUCACUGCAACCUCUGCCUUCCAGGUUCAAGCAAUUCUUCAGCCUCAGCCUCCUGAGUAGCUGGGAUUACAGGUGUUCACCACCAUGCCCGGCUAAUUUUUGUAUUUUUAGUAGAGACGGGAUUUCACCAUGUUGACCAGGGGGGUCUCGAACUCCUGACCUUAAGUAAUCCGCCCACCUCCACCUAUCAAAGCGCUGAGAUUACAGGUGUGAGCCACCACAUCUGGCCACAAAUGUUACCAUUCUUGAAAAUAGAGCUACAUAUUACUUAUAAGCACUUAUUUUAAAAAAUUCAAAUAGAUUAUUUAUCAGUAAUUUGACACCUAAUAAUAUAAUUAUCAAAAUAGAACUUUGUAGUGUGCAUCAUAAUUAUCCAAUAUGUUUCAUCAUGGAGUCCUUUUAAAUGUUGUUCAAUAAUUUUCCCUAUUUGAAGGAAUAAAUCAGAGUUAUGAAAACAUCAGUCACCAUAAGCCUUGCAAUUGUGACUGACAGUUUUCUUAGGAUACUUGGAAAGUUUCCUUUAGGGUGGCAUGAAGAAGCAGAAGGCCUGAAUGAUUCAACAGGUCACCCAAGUAAUGUGGAGAUAUGCAGUGGUAGGCUCCUAGGGAUGGCAGAACUAGAUGUGCUCCAGCAACUAGCAAAAAAAGAGGAAGGAUAUCAGAUUCUUACAUGUGUUAUAUGCCACUACCACGCCAUGGCCACUGUGCACUGAACAUGAACUCAGCUCUCAUUUUCCUCUCCCUGGAUUCGUGUGAAAACAAGGCCCAGUAGAAUUGCAGAAUCACUUGGAAACCGGAUCAGUGAGACCUGACUGAAUGGAGGAAAGCCACACCUUAAAGAGUACAUCUUCCAUGGACAACCAAGCAAGUUUAGUGCUACAGUUUUUUAUGAUCUUCCGUUGCCUAUUUUCAUUUCUUAUCGAUUUUAAAUAUCCAUAAUUGACAUUAUUAUUGCCAAGCACAGUUGAAGACAGAACAGAAAAAUAAACAGAGUCACAAGACUUGUGUUAUGCUUAUGGAGGGGUAAAACAUAAACAAACCAACACAUAUUUACCAUUACUGGUAUAAAAAGAGAAGAAUAAGGUGAUUAAGAAAGCUAAUUACGGAGGUAAUGUUACCAAAAUUGGCAAAAUGGGAAAGUCCAGAGCUCAGUCCCUCCUCAAAUGUAAUUAAUGAACUGGCAAGAAUCAACAGAAGUGACUUUCCAGAACACUGGAAUCUAUUUGAAACCUUACCACAAACAGGGGAUGUCUUGAAAACAGAAGCUGUUGCUUUGUGCGCUGUCCUGGUUUAAAUAGCCUGACUACCAAACUCCACGCACAAGGUUGAUAGCAGCAGUGAGGAUGGCAGCUGGAAUUCUAUUUCCUCAACCAGUGCCAGAGGAAGCAGACUCUUUUUUUUUGUUUGUUUUUAAUUAUACUUUAAGUUCUAGGUUACGUGUGCACAUUGUGCAGGUUUGUUACAUAGGUAUACAUGUGCCAUGUUGGUUUGCUACAUGCAUCAACUCGUCAUUUACAUUAGUUAUAUCUCCUAAUGCUAUCCCUCCCCCAGGCCCCCACUCCCUGACCGGCCCUGGUGUGUGAUGUUCCCCACCCUGUGUCCAAGUGUUCUCAUUGUUCUCACCCACCAAUGAGUAAGAACAUGUGGUAUUUGGUUUUCUGUCCUUGUGGUAGUUUACUGAGAAUGAUGGUUUCCAGUUUCAUCCAUGUACCUGCAAAGGAUAUGUACUCAUUCUUUCUUAUGGCUGCAUAGUAUUCCAUGCAGUAUUCCAUCCAUGGUGUAUAUAUGUCAUAAUUUCUUAAUCCAGGAAAUAGACCAUAUUCUGAAAGAAUUGUACUUGAAGCGUCAGUCUGCCUGGUGACUCCUCAAAUCCAUGUGCAAAGUCCUCCCUUUGCUUUGCCUGACAUGGAGUCCUCCCAGGGCUGGACAACUUUCUGGGCAGCUAUGGCUAAAAACUUUGAAAGAUACAGGUAUUGGCCUCACCAGCCUGGGGCAAGAAACAUCAUUUUUUUAUUUUCAGAAUUAUAUUGGCUAUUCAAGUUUAUUUUCAUUUCCAUGUACAUUUUGAACCAACUUAUUGAUUUUGGCCAAAAUACUGAUAGGAUUUUAGGGAAAUUGUGUUAAAUCUUUACAUCAUUUAUGGAAAAAUUGACAGUGUUACUUCUCAUAAUGACAAUGGUGUAUAGCUCCUUUUAUUUAAAUCUCCUUUAAUUUGCUUUAUUGUCCUAUUAUAGUUUUUAGUAUGAAGCUCUUGAACACAUUCUGUUGGAUUUGUACCUAUAUAGUUCAUUUUGUAUUACCUUUUUUUUUUUUUUUUUGAGAUGGAGUCUCACUCUGUCACCCAGGCUUUAUUUUAUUAUCUUUUUUUUACCUUUACAUACUUUAAAAAAUAAAAACAAUAACACUAUACCUUGUUGUCCGCCCUUUCACUUUCUAUUUUAGGCUUUUGUCUUCAGAAGCAAAGAGUUUGGUCAAGGCUUUUUGCCUCUUCCCUUGUGGCGGCUGCUACCUUCUUCCAGGCCUGUACCAGGUAGGUGGUCUUAUCCUGCCUUUUACUCAUUGCUCAGACUAACUUCUGUGUGCCUUAUGGAGUUUCAUGAUGAAUAGCAGAAGAGUGCCUACAAAAUCUCCAACAUGUCUGCAGCUCUCAUGUUAAGCUACAGUCAGUCUUUAGCAACAAACUGAAAAUUGUAAUGGAAAUUUUUUUUCUUUUGAAACGGACCUAUUAAGGCCAUCAAAAAAAUUUUUUAAUUAACAUAGAAAUCGACAUUUCUAGUCUUAAAACUUGAAAAGUGCACUUGUUUUAUCUGAGUUCUUUCCUCUGGAAAAGACCCUUAGGACUCUCAAAAGGUAUCAAACAAGUAAAACUCACCAGCU
rnacentral:lncRNA from 1 species